GAACGAACGCUGGCGGCAGGCCUAACACAUGCAAGUCGAACGGUAGCAGNAAGAAGCUUGCUUCUUUGCUGACGAGUGGCGGACGGGUGAGUAAUGUCUGGGGAUCUGCCCGGUAGAGGGGGAUAACCACUGGAAACGGUGGCUAAUACCGCAUAAUCUCGCAAGAGCAAAGUGGGGGACCUUCGGGCCUCACACUACCGGAUGAACCCAGAUGGGAUUAGCUAGUUGGUGGGGUAAGGGCUCACCAAGGCGACGAUCCCUAGCUGGUCUGAGAGGAUGACCA
rnacentral:rRNA from 1 species